GGGGAAGUAUUGCACAAUGGGGGAAACCCGUACGAUGCAGCAACGCCGCGUGAGUGAAGAAGUAUUUCGGUUAUGUAAAGCUCUAUCAGCAGGGAAGAAGAAAGACGGUACCUGACUAAGAAGCACCGGCUAAAUACGUGCCAGCAGCCGCGGUAAUACGUAUGGUGCAAGCGUUAUCCGGAUUUACUGGGUGUAAAGGGAGCGCAGGCGGCCGUGCAAGCCAGAGGUGAAAACCCGGGGCUCAACCCCGCGGAUUGCCUUUGGAACUGUAUGGCUUGAGUACUGGAGGGGCAGGCGGAAUUCCUGGUGUAGCGGUGAAAUGCGUAGAUAUCAGGAGGAAACACCGGUGGCGAAGGCGGCCUGCUGGACAGAAAACUGACGCUGAGGCUCG
rnacentral:rRNA from 1 species